AGAGAAUGAACAUCAGGGAAUUAAGAUAGAAAGAAGAGAUUCAGAAAAUAAAUCUCCUCUCUCUCCUGUUUCUUCUCUUUCCUCUCUCUCGCCUCUUUCUUCUCUCUCUCCUCUCGCCUCUCCUUCUCUCCUCUCUCAUCGAUCGGACUUUUUGUUAAAAGAAGAAGAA
rnacentral:ribozyme from 13 species